rnacentral:rRNA from 1 species
UACGAAGGGGGCUAGCGUUGUUCGGAAUUACUGGGCGUAAAGGGCGCGUAGGCGGUCCUGAUCGUCGGAUGUGAAAGGCCUGGGCUCAACCUGGGAACUGCAUCCGAUACGGCGGGACUGGAGUGUGGGAGAGGUUGGUGGAAUUCCCAGUGUAGAGGUGAAAUUCGUAGAUAUUGGGAAGAACACCGGUGGCGAAGGCGGCCAACUGGACCACAACUGACGCUGAGGCGCGAAAGCCAGGGGAGCAAACGGG